rnacentral:rRNA from 1 species
AGUCGACGAGAAGCUUCUUCGGAAGUGAUUAAAGUGGCGAACCCGUGAGUAACGCGUAGGUAAUCUGGCUUAUAGUUGGGGAUAAACACUGGAAACGGUGUCUAAUACCGGAUGUGAAUUAGUAUUGCAUGAUACGAAAUUUAAAGUUUAAGUAACGCUAUAAGAUGAGCCUGCGUCGUAUUAGUUAGUUGGUGAGGUAACGGCUCACCAAGGCGACGAUACGUAGCGGAUUUGAGAGAGUGGUCCGCCACACUGGGACUGAGAUACGGCCCAGACUCCUACGGGAGGCAGCAGUGAGGAAUAUUGCGCAAUGGACGAAAGUCUGACGCAGCAAUGCCGUGUGAACGAAGAAGGCCUAUGGGUUGUAAAGUUCUGUCAGAAGGGAAGAACAGUCUGGUUAAGAGCUAGACUUGACGGUACCUUCAGAGGAAGCUCCGGCUAACUCCGUGCCAGCAGCCGCGGUAAUACGGGGGGAGCAAGCGUUGUCCGGAAUUAUUGGGCGUAAAGGGUGCGUAGGCGGACUAUUAAGUCUGGUGUGAAAGUUUGCGGCUUAACCGUAAAAGGUCACUGGAUACUGAUAGUCUUGAAUCACAGAGGGGGUAGCGGAAUUCCAGGUGUAGCGGUGAAAUGCGUAGAUAUCUGGAGGAACACCGGUGGCGAAGGCGGCUACCUGGCUGUUGAUUGACGCUGAUGCACGAAAGCGUGGGUAGCAAACAGGAUUAGAUACCCUGGUAGUCCACGCUGUAAACGAUGGAUACUAGUUGUUGGGAACUUGUUCUCGGUGACGGAGCUAACGUAUUAAGUAUCCCGCCUGGGGAGUACGAUCGCAAGGUUGAAACUC